ACGAACGCUGGCGGCGUGCUUAACACAUGCAAGUCGAACGGUGAAGCGCCUUCCUUUUUGGUGGGUGUGGAUGAGUGGCGAACGGGUGAGUAACACGUGAGUAACCUGCCCCCUUCUUCUGGAUAACCGCAUGAAAGUGUGGCUAAUACGGGAUAUUCUGGGUCUGUCGCAUGAUGGGUCUGGGAAAGAUAUUGUUUCGGUGGGGGAUGGGCUCGCGGCCUAUCAGCUUGUUGGUGGGGUGAUGGCCCACCAAGGCGGUGACGGGUAGCCGGCCUGAGAGGGUGGACGGUCACACUGGGACUGAGACACGGCCCAGACUCCUACGGGAGGCAGCAGUGGGGAAUAUUGCACAAUGGGCGCAAGCCUGAUGCAGCGACGCCGCGUGAGGGAUGGAGGCCUUCGGGUUGUGAACCUCUUUCGCCAGUGAAGCAGGCCUGCCUCGUUUGUGGGUGGGUUGACGGUAGCUGGAUAAGAAGCGCCGGCUAACUACGUG
rnacentral:rRNA from 1 species